GUGGGGAAUAUUGGACAAUGGGCGCAAGCCUGAUCCAGCCAUGCCGCGUGAGUGAUGAAGGCCCUAGGGUUGUAAAGCUCUUUCACCGGUGAAGAUAAUGACGGUAACCGGAGAAGAAGCCCCGGCUAACUUCGUGCCAGCAGCCGCGGUAAUACGAAGGGGGCUAGCGUUGUUCGGAAUUACUGGGCGUAAAGCGCACGUAGGCGGGUAUUUAAGUCAGGGGUGAAAUCACGGAGCUCAACUCCGGAACUGCCUUUGAUACUGGGUACCUAGAGUAUGGAAGAGGUAAGUGGAAUUCCGAGUGUAGAGGUGAAAUUCGUAGAUAUUCGGAGGAACACCAGUGGCGAAGGCGGCUUACUGGUCCAUUACUGACGCUGAGGUGCGAAAGCGUGGGGAGCAAACAGGAUUAGAAACCCGAGUAGUCC
rnacentral:rRNA from 1 species